GGAGCACGCCGGAUCUCUGGAGAGACAGGUGUGUGCUAGUUGUCUGGAAGUUAAGGGCAGCGUCCCCGGUUGUACGGUGCAAAAACCACAAGACCUUGAGUCAACAAUGUGGCGGGAGCUGAAUCCUUCUUCUGCUCCUCCUGGGAUUGUGCUAUUGUUGCAGGAGGUGAAUUUGAGAGGGAUACAGGCUAGACCAAAGAGGUGUUGAUCCAACGCCAACUUUACCUAUGGAUGAAGCACAAUUGCAUUUUUCCACAGCCAAAAAGAGCUGCAUCAGAUUGGUUGCCUUCAUACGGGAUCACUUUCAGCAAGCUCAGCUAUUCACCAUGGCAGUUAUUCAUCAGUAUGAAGAAAUGCAUUAAGUGCAUAUUCAUAUGUUCUAUGUGGCUUUGGUCUGAAUAGGAAAGAGUAUGAUAUAGAAAACCAGUAGUCAGAGUUGGGUAAGAGUGUUCUUGAGCUCCUAUCAACCUAGGACAGAGACAUACAUCAAUGCUAUGUUUGUCCUCCAUGAUGGGUAAGAAGGAGCAAUAUAGACACUGACCUAAAACAGGUACAAUCACCUGGCCACUCUUUACCCUAGACAGGAUUAUGGAAAACAAGUAAAUCUUGUGCCCCCAGCCAGCAAUUGGUACUGCUCAUCUUUAAAAAACCAAAAAGGGGGGAUUGUGCCCUUCCCAGCCUUGAGCACGUUUUUUCCAGCCUUAAGCAGACUAAAUAGACCUUGCCAAAUUAGACGUUAAUGACCUAGGUGAAGCCAUCUGCCUUGGUUGCACAUGCAACUUCCUCCAGAAACUUAGAAAAACAGACUGCUCACUGACCUUGCUUUGCAACAUAAUCCAUCUGAAACAAAGGAUGGGGUUUGUGAGUGCUCCCUAUACAAAUGCAGUGCUGAAUAUUAAACUUGGAGCCUUGAUUAGAACCUUGUCUUGGCUUCAUUCUUCUCUCGCCGCUCCUGUCCCCCGCCCCCCAAGUCUCUUUCAUUUUCAGCUCCCCUUUCAGGUAAACCCAGUUCGUCCAUGGCUCCUGGACAGCUACAAAAAGGCAUGCUUUUUCUUAAUUUCUCUAACCAUUCAGAGGCAACUUUUGUAGCAUCAAAUUUCAGGGGUUUAGCAUCAUUUAGAUUCAGAUUUCUUGAUGUAAUUGAAUUCAAUCCAACACUUGCAAGACUCUAUCUCCAUACCAAGGUUCUGAAACAUUGACUGAAAGCAUAACACAUGAAGGUUGAUGAAGUACCAUAGCAGUGUCAGAUGCACAAUUAGUUAAGUUAUAGUCAUAGCAACUUACAUUGAAUCUAAACCCAUACACAGUGAUGUUAAUUUUCUCUAUCAACAAUGCAUAUGGCAGGGAAAUGCAGGCAAGUACAUUUCCCACUGUUGUCAGUCUGAACCCAACCUAGUGUUCAUCUCUGUUUAGUAGUUGUGUUAGUUGCUUUAAUCUCCCCCAAAGCCACAGCAAGUUUCCAGACAUAAGUCUGUGAUGAUCCAGUGUUUGUCCACCAAAGUCCUGCAUGCAGUCCUUUUUGCCAGUCAUCUGAGUUUGCUUGGGGACUCUGCUCAAGUUGGCAUCAGGAAGUGGCCCAUCAGCAACAGCAACAGCAACAGCAUCAUGUGUCUGGUCAAUUGCUUUCUCCACAUAGUAAACCAAAUGCUCUGGAAUCUACCUGUCACUUUCAGCGUCCUGUGGAAAAGAGAAACAUGCCCUCUUCCCCAUAUUAAUAUCUGAUCAGGACCAUGCCAUAUGUCAGUAAGUGGGUCCUUCCAUUUCACCUGGGCAUAAGUAUACCUAGUUGUGCCGUGCCAUAGAUGCUUAGCAGCAACAUUUUAUUUUAUUUUUUGUAACUGAUUUUUUUUUGGGCUCCAUGGGAUUGUUCCACAAUUCCCUGUCUUUGUGGAUUAAAAAAUAUAUUACUAUAUAUCUAACUAAUUACUAUAUAUCUAACUAUAUAUUACUAUAUAUCUAACUUAUAAUCAUAAGUCUGAACUUUAAUUAUUGUUAUAAAUAUAAGGUAUAAAACUUUAUAUAAAUGUUAAAACAAAUUUUUUAAAAAAUAAAUUAUAUAUUUU
rnacentral:lncRNA from 1 species